AGAGCAGCAGAUGAAAUCCUUGCUGAGACUGAAUCUGCUUGGGAAGGCCUGCUUAUUUUGGGUUGGACUUUCUUCCUUGGAGGCUUGGCAUUGAACUCCCACAAAAUGAUGAGUCACAGGGAGCUGGUUAUUUCCUUGAGAACAGCAAGAAGCGAGUGAAAAUCAUCUUUUGAAUUCGAGAGCCCAGGGGUGCCGUGCAUGGAUCUCAUUUUACAGAGGGACCCGUGGCAAAAAGUUCACCCUGCUGCUUGAAGGAGAAUCAGAAACUGCUUGGCAUCCAACCUCAAGGACUCCAGGAAUCCCACCCACAGCUGGAGCUAUCCCCCCAACAGCCACCCCGAAACUGUCACUACCAGGAGCUGCAUUAUUUAAAAAAGUGACUGCAAGCAAGAGAUAGAAUUAGCAUAAUCUGUUAUUUAAAAGCUACACCUGCUAUUAAAGUUAUAAAGAAAUGAAAUCUUA